rnacentral:tRNA from 1 species
UCCUCGAUAGCUCAGUUGGUAGAGCAGUAGACUGUUAAUCUAUUGGUCACAGGUUCGAGUCCUGUUCGAGGAGCCA